rnacentral:lncRNA from 1 species
UAUAAUCCCUAUCGACAAGUUCCAGAUGGACCAGAUCCAAUACACAACAAAAUGGAGGGUCAAGGAGGAACGAACACUUAUGGAAUUUAUCGACAAACUUCAGAUACUUAUAAUCCCUAUUGACAAGUUCCAGAUGGACCAGAUCCAAUACACAACAAAAUGGAGGGUCAAGGAGGAACGAACACUUAUGGAAUUUAUCGACAAACUUCAGAUACUUAUAAUCCCUAUCGACAAGUUCCAGAUGGACCAGAUCCAAUACA